GGGUAGGGAGGGAAAGGGUGGGGAUGGUUGAAUGGGAGAGUAGGGGGGGUGGGGGGAAGGGUGGGGGUGGUGGGGGGGGGAAAAAAGAGGGGACGAAAAUGGGGGGGGUUUUUUUCGGAGAGGGUUCUCCUAGGAGGGGCGGCCCUUUUUAAAAAAACCGCAGGAUAAGGGGGAGGGAAAAUUCCGAGGGGAAGUUUCCGAGGAGGACGGAGCGCCUUUUCUGGGAAAAGCAGGAGGGGGCAAUUCCCCCCCCUCUCAAAAAAAACGGAGAAAAAACAGGGGGACAGAUCUCUUCAAUCUCUUCUCGGGGGGGGAGGUUUCUCCCGGAGAGGGGGGUUUUUUGGGGGGGCCGGGGGGCCCCCCCCCCCCCCCCCCCCCCAACCCCCCCCCAAAACCCCCCCAAAAAAGAGCCCCCCGGUUUUGGGGUUUUCCCCUUCCCCCCUUCCCCCUCCUUCCCCCCCCCUCACCCUUAAGCCCCUAAGCCCGAGGCCCCAACGGGCCCCCACAUCCGAAAGAGAAAAAAGGGAAGGCUUUUUUUUUUAAAGGGGGAGGGGGGUAAAAACCUGGGAACCUUCUGUUAAGAGGGGGAAAUUGGGGAAACCCGGGUAAUCUCGGUAACCCUUUGAAAAAAAUUUUUAAAGUUGAACGGGGUUGGGGCCCACCCUGGAAGGCCCCCGGGUCAUUUGGUAGUUGGGGGGUAACGGCCCACCAAGGGAAAGGUCUUUUCCUCCUUUGAAGGGUAUUGGCCCAAUUGGGAUUCGGACACGGCCCAAAUUCUUACGGGAGGCACCCUUACGGCAUUUUUCCCAAAUGGACGAAAGUUUGAUGGAGCAACGCCGCUUGAAUGAUGAAGGUUUUUGGAUCGUAAAAUUUGGUGGUAAGGGAAGAACAAGUACGUUAGGAAAUGAACGUACCUUGACGGUACCUUAUUAGAAAGCCAAGGCUAAAUACGGGCCAGCAGCCGCGGUAAUACGUAGGUGGCAAGCGUUGUCCGGAUUUAUUGGGCGUAAAGCGCGGGCAGGUGGUUUCUUAAGUCUGAUGUGAAAGCCCACGGCUCAACCGUGGAGGGUCAUUGGAAACUGGGGAAUUUGACUGCAGAAGAGGAUAGUUGAAUUCCAAGUGUAGCGGUGAAAUGCGUAGAGAUCCGGAGGAACACCAGUGGCGAAGGCGACUGUUUGGUCUGUAACUGACAUUGAGGCGUGAAAGCCUGGGGAGCAAACAGGAUUAGAUACCUUGGUAGUCCACGCUGUAAACGAUGAGUGCUAAGUGUUAGGGGGUUUCCGCCCAUUAGUGCUGCAGAUAACGCAUUAAGCACUCCGCCUGGGGAGUACGACCGCAAGGUUGAAACUCAAAGGAAUUGACGGGGGCCCGCACAAGCGGUGGAGCAUGUGGUUUAAUUCGAAGCAACGCGAAGAACCUUACCAGGUCUUGACAUCCCAAUGACCGUCCUAGAGAUAGGAUUUUCCCUUCGGGGACAUUGGUGACAGGUGGUGCAUGGUUGUCGUCAGCUCGUGUCGUGAGAUGUUGGGUUAAGUCCCGCAACGAGCGCAACCCUUAUUCUUAGUCGCCAUCAUUUAGUUGGGCACUCUAAGGAGACUGCCGGUGACAAACCGGAGGAAGGUGGGGAUGACGUCAAAUCAUCAUGCCCCUUAUGACCUGGGCUACACACGUGCUACAAUGGACGAUACAAAGAGUCGCAAACUCGCGAGGGUAAGCUAAUCUCAUAAAAUCGUUCUCAGUUCGGAUUGUAGGCUGCAACUCGCCUGCAUGAAGCCGGAAUCGCUAGUAAUCGCGGAUCAGCAUGCCGCGGUGAAUACGUUCCCGGGCCUUGUACACACCGCCCGUCACACCACGAGAGUUUGUAACACCCGAAGUCGGUGGGGUAACCGUAAGGAGCCAGCCGCCUAAGGUGGGAUAGAUGAUUGAGGAAGUCCUGAGCAAGUCCCCGGCC
rnacentral:rRNA from 1 species